CACUCCCGCGGAAGACGGACACACUGAAGCGCCGCGCGGCAUUUUUACGUCACCGCCGGACGCCGGCGCUAUUUUGCCUCUCACGCUCCCGGGCAGACAGCCGUAUGCGCUGUAUGGUCCACGCCCACGGGGCCAGGCGCCGGUGCCUUGCGGCACGCUCUGCGAGGAGGAGGAGAAAGCUGUUGAGGCGUUGAAGCAACCUCAAAGCUGAAAAAAGUCUUCAGAGGCUCUGUGACAAGGGCCAGUGAGGUGCAGAGCGCCUGCCUCAGGAAGUCACGCUUUGAAUUGGAAGGCACUGGCGACUGACCUGCCUUGUAGGAAUUUUUACGCUAAUUGAGGAGUGAAAAAACUCCAACAGACUUUAAAACCAAACGCGCAAAAAACACGGAAAUUCAACUGGGAAAAAAGAGUCCGAAAAGCUGUUCGUUCAUGGAGAAGCUCUAGUAAAAGCCCCCAGGAGACAAUGACUUUAACACUUGGGACACAAAUGUCAGGACCUGAGCUGUAUUCCUACCUUUUGCCUAUCAUGCUUUUGGUUCUGCUGUCCAGGAGGAGUCAACAUAACCAGGUUAGAGGGUUCCUAUGUGAAACUGCAAAGCUAGAGUCUGUCAUCAGUUUCACACCACUCUCUGUGGUGUUCACUAACUUCCUGGAGGUGCCAGCCUCUUCUCCUUCACAUCAAAAACUAAUUUCCCAGGGCCAAUAAGGGAACUCCUAAUGUGACCUUUUCUCCCUCAGCAGGAUCUUUAGUUCCCUUUUUCUUUUCUCUCACAUCAAAACUUACCCAGCCCAUACCUUAUUUCCUGAGGACAUUUCCAAGGAUGGGCCAGCCAUUGUGACAAAUUAGUUGUGUCAAGAUGUUUCUAGAUGGAAUUGGCAUAAAGCUACUCCUAGUAAAAAUAACUGCCUACUAAAUGGCUUCUGGUUGCUUCGUUGCAGAGAAAUAACUCUAUUGCUGGACUUUUCCAGUACCAUGGCAAGUCAGGGGACAAGAUUUUGGUGAACAGGCAAAAUCUGCCCUUUCAGAUCUGCUUAGGGCAGAUGUUUCCUGUGAUAUCAACCAUAGGCCUAAACCAGGAUGGAGUUGGAACCAGGUGGGAAAGAAGGAGGUUAAGUGUAUAAAUAAAUAAACUUGUAUACGCGAGUGUUCA
rnacentral:lncRNA from 1 species